UACAGAGGGUGCGAGCGUUAAUCGGAAUUACUGGGCGUAAAGCGUGCGUAGACGGUUUCGUAAGUCGGGUGUGAAAUCCCCGGGCUCAACCUGGGAAUUGCAUUCGAAACUGCGAGGCUAGGGUACGGAAGAGGGAAGCGGAAUUUCUGGUGUAGCGGUGAAAUGCGUAGAUAUCAGAAGGAACAUCAGUGGCGAAAGCGGCUUCCUGGUCCAGUACCGACGUUCAGGCCCGAAAGCGUGGGGAGCAAACAGG
rnacentral:rRNA from 1 species